rnacentral:misc_RNA from 1 species
GUCAGUUCUCGUCGAGACGGUAAGCGGUGAGGAUGUAGUUCUGUCGGUGCUUGGUUAGUUACACACACGCGUCGAUUUCGUAUCGGAAUAUACCCUGUUCGUUGUAGUAAUAAAUAAAACAGAAAAAAGUACGAUAAUUUCAAUGGAAAUGAACGAGCAACGACGUCAAACGAUUAGCGUUUGAGGAACGAUCGGUGCGGAAUAUUAUUUCCGGUAAAAACUCUGUGCGUUCGCUGUUUCGUCCGGCCCUUAAAGUGUUGUGGUUGGUUUUUAACUACAGGAUAAAUAAUCGCAGACAAAAUGGGAUAUAUUGGACCGUUUGUGGCUAAUAAGAGAUUCAUAUUCCUCAAGACUGUGAUUAGAAAGAAUAAAUUGCUUCUACAACGUCAAUGACAAAGUCGUGACAUAUCUGCCCGCUACUUUCUGCUUGUUGAAGUUUUUUAUCUUAAGAAAAAUAGACUCAUCGUGUGUUUUACGCAACGUGCAUGCCUGCACGUUAGUUCGUUUGUUAACCAUAUUUUGUGAUAAUCCUGACAAGGAUAAUAUCCGCCUUCGUAAACGUCUAUAUACUUUGUCUGACAAACAAAAUUGGACAGACGUCAAUCUGACCCCCGGACAAUUGUUUGAAUAUAACUUAAGCUUCGACCUCUGUUCCGUAAUUUUAUAAAAUAUCCAUUAGUGCGUACAACAAGCUUUAAACUUUCUUAACACGGAAUUUAACUGAUAAAUUGAUUUUAACACCGGCAAGUGAUCUUAACAAUUGCAUUGAUUGGUCGUGAACUGAAUUGAACUAUAUGAACAUUUUUUCCUCGGUUCUCAAUCUGUACUAAUAAUAUUAACCGAAAGUGGUUGGAUGAUUAAAGUUGGAUAUAAAUGCGUAAUACUUAAUCGUGACAAAACAGGUUUUGAAACAAAAAACAAAAAAUAGAACCUUAAUAUCCUUUUAUAAGUAAAGUAAUAUUUUAAUACAUUGUUAUCAUCCGAGUUGUUUGAAGCGUAUGUAUAAUAAAAUACAGUAUAAAUAAUAAAGUCUGAUACUUAGUGCCAAAGACUGCAGUGAAGCCAAAAAAUAUACACUAUAAUAUUAUGUAACCAAACAACGUAUGUGUAUAUAUAUACGUAUAUAUAUAUUUCUUGUUAUUAAUGAUAAUUGACUAUUGAUACGAGGAGAUACUUGGAACAGUAUUAAAGACAAAACUAUAUACUCAUCCACGCGUGAUCGGGGAACAACGAAACAAACUCACACUGUGAAAAAAAUACAAACAUAUAUACAUAGUUUUGUUUCUUUUUUUUUUUUAUUUAUUUUUUUGAAUUUCAAACUGCUACGCGCUUUAACCAAAGAAGGAAGAUGUCGUUUCUCAAUGGAUACUCAACGUACAAUUCCCAGUCGCAGAGUGCUACCUCUCCACCGAGAACCAGUAUCUGGGGUAGUUCUCACAGCCCAUUUCGAAGCACGAAUUUGACCCUUCAGGAUAUCACGAUAGAUCACACGCUUCCUUGUAUAAAUGGCACACAUGGAAGGUCUCCAGGUAAGGCAGCGACCACAGGGCCUGGACUCGGCGCAAUCAGAGGCGUACCGGGCACCGUCCAAGGGACCGGAGGCAGAACAAUGAAGGAAUACGAGGAUCAGCUUGGCAUGCUGAAGAAGGAGAACUUCAACCUUAAGCUGCGGAUAUAUUUUCUUGAGGAAAGGAUGGGCAUCACAUCUGCGGAUGAAGAUGCGAUCAAAAAAAAUAUCGAACUUAAGGUCGAGGUCGAGUCACUGAGAAAAGAACUGAUUGAGAAGCAGGAUCUUCUCAGCCAGGCAGCCAAGGCUUUUGAACUUAUCGAAAAACAGAAAGAAACGUCAUCGCGUAACCAGACUCAGUAUCAACGGUCGCUUGAUUUAGAAAGGGAGAGAAUUGCCGAACUUGAAAAAGAACUUGAAGAGUACAAAGAAAAACUUGCCGAUACCUCAGCAUACUAUAAAGAAGAAUAUGGCAUCACGCCAGAAGAAUCGAUAGAGAAUAAAGAAAAAUUACACCAGAUGGAAGAGCUUGUCGUGGCCUUGGAAGUGGAGGUGAAGCAAAUAACUAGUAGCCUUGAAGAAGAACGUAAUUGGGGUUUGGAAUUGGAGAGUGAGAGAGAUCAGUUGAAGGAGCGUCUUGAAGCUGAGGUUCAACUUAGGGAAGGUUCUAUCGAACAGAGAAAUCAGGAGAUCGAUCAACUGAGGGAAAGAGUCAAACAGUUGGAAGAGCAGAUAUUUAAGUGGGAAAGCCUGUCACAGCAACAGAAGAGUGAGUUGUUAGAAAAGGACAGAAUCAUUAAAGAAAAAAGUCUCCAGCUUGAGGAAAGACUUCGUUCGUGUGAUGAGCUGACCAAUGACUGCGAGAAGAGAAAGAAACAAGUUGAUUCGUUGAGGGCUUCAGUCAAGACGAGAGACGAUGCUCUGAUAGAACUUACAAACAAGCACAAAUCUCUUUUGUCGCAGUUUGAAUGCAAUUCCACAAAACUUAAAACUUGUUCGCCGCCAAGGAGCCCGACGACACCAAACUCUGUUGAUGAUUUUCAUCUGCAAACGACGAUGGGCCAAAGAUUGAGCUGCGUACGGAGUCUAGAUAAGAAAAACACUUCUGUCGACUGGGAGCCAAACAAAGAAAAGUCUUCGAGGCACAGUUCACAGGAUUUGGAGGAACGUGAUAGUGAGAUGAAGCGACACCAAGAAGCCAACAAGCAGUUAACUUUGAAGCUUUGUAAUACUCAGAAGACUGUUGAGGCUGCUGAUCAAAAAUACAAGAAGCUAACUAUGGAUCACGAAAAGGCACUUAAAACGAUUCAAGGUUUUUUCGAAAGGCAACAGCAAUUGGAGGACAAAUUAGUGAAAAAAGAUCGCAAACUUAUGGAAUUAGAAGUUGAACUGAGCAGACUGAGGAGUCAGGAUUGCACAAAGUCUAAUCGCAGAGUCCCAUCAGCUAGACGUGAUCUAACCAGUGAGAUGUCUGACGACCCGGAACGGGACCCAUGCAAUCAGCAACGCUUUGAGGAAAUGGAGAGCAAGAUUAACGACCUGAGAGUACAAAUCGAUACUAUUAAGGCUGAGAAGAGUAAACUGGAAAUGCAAAUUCAAGCUGAAUCCCAGGAAGUACAAGAACAACUGAAAGAUCGAGAACAGAAAAUAGUGUCUUUAGAAUCUGAGAAAAACACAAUACGCGUUGAGUUAACAGAGAAAGUUGUCGAACUGGAUAAAUUAAAGGAAGCCUAUAAUCAGGCAAGUCUUAAAAUCGAAGAAAGCUGCCGAACAAACGAGUUAGGCGACGAGUAUAGUCUGCGAGAAGAGCUGCUGUUGAAAAAUGCAUUGAUUGAGGAGAAGGAUAAAAAAAUUGAACAAUUGAGCAAAGAGUUACAAAUUCGAACGCAGAAUCUACAAAAACUUGUCAACACAGAAUUAUGGAGCAAGAAUAAAGAGAUUGCCAAAUUACAUAAUCACAUGACUGCAACCCAUAGUCAUGAAAGGAGCAGAAACAGGUCUGAAUCAGCCUUGGAUAAUUCUGGAUUGCAAGUAACAACUUUGAUCAAAGAACUGUCAGACCUUGGUAUACAAGUCAAAAUUGUAAAUGACGCUGUACAAUUGAAUUACGUCAAUGGAAAUGAGUCAAUAGACUUAAAAGUGACAAAAAAUUACUUAGAAACCCUUUUAGAACAACGAAACGAGUUGGAAAAGGAAAUAGAUUACCUCAAAUGGUUGAAGCUUAUUACUAAACCUGAUAUAACUAAUGAAAUUGAAAGCUCUGGGUCAGAAACCGAGAGAGCUCGAAAGUAUUGUGAAUUAUUGCGAACGCAUCUCAAGGAGUUGGUCAGAUUUAUGAACGAAAUGUUGAGAAAAGCUAAUCAUUCGGAAAUAAUUAGUAUGGAACAUAAAAAAAUAGUGCUGGACGUAUUUUUGGAUUCUAAAAUUUUACCCGAUGAUUUUAUACACUCUUUUGAAGAAAUACCCGGUGGUGAUGCAGUUGGAGAUCACUCUUCUCGACGUCAUUUUGCCGAAGAACAUUUAGUUGAUAGUGUUGGGAAGAAGAGUAACACCGAAAAUUUACUGGGAGUGCGAAAGAAUCAAAAUUCGAUUCACUCAGAUUCAGAGGCAUUUUCAGAGCCAGACAGAACAGUUUCGCUCGCUAGAAUCGGACUACAAGAGCUGAAUCAUAAAACUAGCAACAAACAUAGAUUCUCUAAGUAUACAAAGACGUUUAGUGACUCUGAGGACUCUAUGGAUUAUGUUCCUUACCAUAAGACUUACCAGAGCGACUUGAAUGACACAGAUGAGACAAGUAAUAUACAGGAGCUAAAAGAAACCAACAAUCAGCUAUACUCGGAACUGAAUGCUCUCAGGAAUGAGCUUGCAAGGAAAACUUUAUUCGAUGAUAGAUUCGACGAAAAAUUGGCACCUUUAAUCGCAAAGCUGGAACAUUCACAGAGAUUUUGUGAAAAAUUGCAGGCGUCGCUAGAAAAAAGAAUGAAUGAAUGCUACACACUGAAAAAAGAAAGCAAACACAACAGCAUACGAAAAGCACAGUUGGAGAAAAAGAUAUCGGAGGUUGAAGAUAUGGCUAUUGAAUUAACUAAACAAAAGGCGGAUCUUUUACAUUCUAAAGAAAGCGCUGAGAGACAAACCUGUGAAAUGCUAACAGCGCUCAAUAGAGAAAAUGACACGCUGCGAACAAAGAUUAAAAAAAUGGAAGAUGAAAUGGAGGUAACUAAAACGAAUUUGGCAACAAUAACGAAAGAAAUCGAUCAAUUGACACUUUCUCACUCCCAAGUUCUUGUUGAAAAUACAAAACUGAUCAAUGAAAAGCUGAGGCUGGAACAAGAUGCGCGAAAAAACGACAGUCGAUAUGAUAUUGCACUACGGUCUCUGCACGAGAAAUAUACCAAAGAGAUAGCAGACCUGAAUCAAGUCAACGAUUCGCAGCGAUCACGUAUGCAGGAAUUGGAAAUGGUAAACAAAGAGUUACGAAGACAUGUCGUAACUUGCGAGGCCAGUGAUUCCGCGCCAAGUUCGAGUGGUAUUUCAUCCAUUCCAACUGACACAACGAUUAAACAAAGUUGUGACGAUAUAAUCCAAGAAUAUCAUUCCUACAACGGCUCUCAGUAUUGGUUGCCAAUAAAUUAUCCGAAUCUUACGGGUCGUAGUAAGUCUAGCUGUUCGCCUGACUUAGGAAUCGAGAGCGAUGCGGCACUAACGACUACAACACGACCUUUGAAAGAUACUUUGAAAAUAACCGAAUCUAUGACAAAUCUUCUCAGCGAGGAUGAGAAUUGUAAUACAAGCCGAGAACUCAGAGAUUUAGACAGUGAAAGCCCGCUGCCUACAGAAGAGAUUUUUUUGUCAAUCUACGUGAUUGGGGAACCAAUGCAUCAGUUUUGAUCCAAGCAAACUUAUCUCGAGAAUGGUUCAUCUGACAACAAAUAUGCAUAUCAAUGGUCUGAACGAAAUGGAAGUGUUGAAGCAGGAAAACGAGGCACUGAAGCGACGACUGAUGAAAACUAGAAGAGCUUUGGAAGAUACAUUUCAGCAUCUUUCUGCAUCGAAUAAAAA